rnacentral:sRNA from 1 species
GACAAGCGGAAGGGAUUGUAGUGGAAAUCCUUUCCGAUAGGAAAGAUUGGAACGGAAAGCCCGGUCCGCG